UACGUAGGGACCAAGCGUUGUUCGGAUUUACUGGGCGUAAAGGGCGCGUAGGCGGCUUAACAAGUCACUUGUGAAAUCUCCGGGCUUAACUCGGAACGGCCAAGUGAAACUGUCAAGCUAGAGUGCAGAAGGGGCAAUCGGAAUUCUUGGUGUAGCGGUGAAAUGCGUAGAUAUCAAGAGGAACACCUGAGGUGAAGGCGGGUUGCUGGGCUGACACUGACGCUGAGGCGCGAAAGCCAGGGGAGCAAACGGG
rnacentral:rRNA from 1 species